UCUCUAGUGGCUCAGACAGUAGAGAAUCUGCCUGCAAUGCAGAAGACCCAGGUUCAAUCCCUGGGUUGGGAA
rnacentral:tRNA from 1 species